AAAUUUAAUAUGGUAUCAUAGUCUCCCACAAGUAUUUUACCCUCUUCGAGGGGCAUAUUAAAUUUCACAUUGGUGGGGGACAGGGUAGGGUUUGGGAUAGGGAUAAUUUUCUCAUUGUCUUGAGCUAAUUUUUGAGUUAAUCAUGGGUCAAAUUUAAUGAUUUUUACAAUUGUCUUGAGCUAAUUUUUGGAUGAGUUAAUCAUGACUCAAAUUUAAUGACUUUUACAAUUUAGCAUGAUAUUCCUUCAUGCCUAUUAAUAUCUUAGGUUAUGCAGAUAAUAUUUCCAUAAUCCAAGCACAUAUUUGAAGGGGUAUGAUCAUUUUUCAAACAAAUUGAAUAACAAUAUCUUUUCUAUUCCAUUUUGUUUUGAAAAUUAAAUAAAAUACCCUAUACGUAAAUCUCUUGUUGUCAAGGAUAUGAUGUCAAAUUGUGAUUAAUCUGCUUUUGCACUUGCACUUCAAGUUAUGAGGAACUUUACCUAUGGGUUUCUCCAUUUCAGUUUUGCUGGACUUUUCUAAUCGAGUUAUUUUUGCAGCUUGCUUUAUGAGGAACUUUACCUAUGGGUUUCUCCAUUUCAGUUUUGCUGGACUUUUCUAAUCGAGUUAUUUUUGCAGCUUGCUUUAGUGUCCAUGUGCGAGGAUCAGAAUAUAUG
rnacentral:lncRNA from 1 species